rnacentral:rRNA from 1 species
UAGUCCACGCCCUAAACGAUGCUGACUCGGUGUCUGGACCUUGAGUCUGGGCGCCCAAGGGAAACCGAUAAGUCAGCCACCUGGGGAGUACGUUCGCAAGAAUGAAACUCAAAGGAAUUGACGGGGGUCCGCACAAGCGGUAGAGCAUGUGGUUUAAUUCGAUGAUACGCGAGGAACCUUACCUAGGCUAUAAUGUGAGCGCAAUCUGGUGAAAGCCGGAGUUCCUUCGGGACGCGAAACAAGGUGCUGCAUGGUUGUCGUCAGCUCGUGCCGUGAGGUGUUGGGUUAAGUCCCGCAACGAGCGCAACCCCUAUUGUUAGUUGCCAGCGAGUAAUGUCGGGGACUCUAACGAGACUGCCCGCGUAAGCGGAGAGGAAGGUGGGGACGACGUCAAAUCAUCGUGGCCUUUAUGCCUAGGGCUACACACGUGCUACAAUGGCAGGUACAGAGGGUUGCGAAGGGGUGACCUGGAGCUAAUCUCAGAAAGCCUGUCCCAGUUCGGAUUGGAGUCUGCAACUCG